rnacentral:rRNA from 1 species
GACAGAGGGUGCAAACGUUGUUCGGAAUUACUGGGCGUAAAGCGUGUGUAGGCGGCCGCGCAAGUCGGAUGUGAAAGCCCUGGGCUCAACUCAGGAAGUGCACCCGAUACUGCGUGGCUCGAGUACCGGAGAGGUUGGUGGAAUUCUCGGUGUAGAGGUGAAAUUCGUAGAUAUCGAGAGGAACACCUGUGGCGAAGGCGGCCAACUGGACGAGUACUGACACUGAGACACGAAAGCGUGGGGAGCAAACGGG